UACCAGCACCCCGAGUGGUCGGGAUGAUUAUUGGGCCUAAAGCAUCCGUAGCCGGUUCUACAAGUCUUCCGUUAAAUCCACCUGCUUAACAGUUGGGCUGCGGGAGAUACUGUAGGACUAGGAGGCGGGAGAGGCGAGGGGUAUUCCUUGGGUAGGGGUAAAAUCCUCUGAUCCAUGGAGGACCACCAGUGGCGAAGGCGUCUCGCCAGAACGCGCUCGACGGUGAGGGAUGAAAGCUGGGGGAGCAAACCGG
rnacentral:rRNA from 1 species